UGGUUAAUGAUAAGAAACUGCGUCACUCCACUUUGUCUGUGGAAGUUGAAGUUGAAGCUCCUUUUCUCCACAGACCUGCUGAGGACAGAAGAGAGCUGCACACUGAUGAAGUCCAUGGCUGAAAGUUCAGCUUUUCUGUGUUAAAGAGGAGCUCAGCAAGAGACUCGCCGGUCUGAAACAGGAUUCCUCGUGUGCUUCGAGUCCUCGCU